rnacentral:rRNA from 1 species
AUGGGGGAGAUCCAUCGAGGCAGCAGAUGGGGGAGAAAGGCCGCCGUCGCCGGCGCCCAUCACAGAAAAGAGCGGCGCGAUGAGACGGAGGCGCAGAGGGUAGAGCGGCUGCAGCUGCAGGCAACUCUGGCGUUUGUGAAGGCGGCGCACGCGGACACCAUGCUUUACCUUGACAUGGAGGAGUACCGGAGGGCGGGCAAGCUCCACACUUACGACGAGGCCAAGGAGUGGUAG